GACUUUCUCCUCCUCGUUAUUUCCGGGCAUUCCGAUUUGUCUCGUUUCAAAAUGUUUAAUUCAGACUGGCUUGGGCGCCUCUUCCCCCAACCCCUGCGCCCACCUUGCCUUUUAAACGUUUUUUUUUCUAGCCGCUCUUAAUAAUAAUAAAACAACAACAAAUAAAAUCCGAUCCAGGCUGCAGAAGACGGUGGGAUAACUUCGAAUAAAGCAAAACAGUUUUCCCACCGAAAAAGAGAAUGAUUAAAGCGUGGCCAUAAAUAUCCUCGAUCCUCCUGCUUGCAGUCUGGGCUAAGAGCAUUUGAAGCAGCGGCGGGGGUGGCGCGGGGAGCGGGGGGCCGAGAAGCCCAGGAGCAUAAUUUUGCAGAGAGGAAGUCCAUUGAGACUGCAGUGCUAGUAUACAUGUCUGCUCAGCAACUGAGGCCUUUGAGUUCAAUGGAACUUGCUCUCAGGUAAGUGUGGCUCUAGGAUCGCACCCUGAAUAGAUCUGCUGUCAGGUUAAUUACGAGGCUUGAAAUGUGGCAAGGCGGAGGUAAGGUUUCUCCUGACUUGUGCAGGAUUUGCCUGGCCCUGCUUCAGAAACAGUUUCUGGACAACAGAGCUUUGGGGAAGGGGGUGGAGGAGGAGAAGCCUCUAGCGAAUAUUUCAAAUAACCACCACACUGUAUUUCUAAAUCACAUUUGUUUUCAAUAUGCUUAAAUACCUGGAGCCAACAGCAAAAUUAUGCAACUCAAAUACAAUUUUUUAAUUUUUUUUUAAAAAGAAGGGUUGACUAAGAAUUCCACCCAUUUUUCUUUUAUCAAAAUGGUGAUGUUUGCCAUACAGUCUCUUUACUCUGUCUCCAAAUUGUGCCGAACACUUUGUACUUUGAAGGGGGAAAAGCAUGCUUAAUGUAAGAGUUGCAAUCCACUUAACCCUGAGAGUAUGUCCCAUUGAGCUCAAUAGGGCUUACUUCUGAGUAGGCAUGUAGAGGAUUGCACUGCCAAGGAAGCGAAAUUUGCUUUAAAGGCUUUGAAGGCUGUUUUGUUGUUGCUGUUGUUGUUGUCUUGGCAGCAUUGCUUGCCUUUAAUUACUUCCUUUGAAUGGGCUUAGCCCCCCCCCUUCUUUCCAAAGGAUAGAACACUAUAUGUCAUAGCUGCCAAGUUUUCCCUUUUCUCACGAGGAAGCCUAUUCAGCAUAAGGGGAAAUCCCUUUAAAAAGGGAUAACUUGGCAGCUAUGCUAUAUGUUGAGGCAGAAAGGCUGCCUUUCAGCCGUCUAGGUGUGUUAUUCAUCUGAUAAACCGUGUUAAAGGUUGUGCUAGUAAACAGAUUUUUUUUGACAGCAUUGGAGAUUUCUAUCUAAAAAAGACCCAUUGCAAGAGUGGCAGGAGCAGGAGGAGCUGGUGACCUUGCAACCCCUUCUCAAAGGCAGUUGCCCUCUUUUGUUUCCCUUUGGGUACAGGCCUCAGAAAGCAAUUCCACACAACACCAGGCAGAGUCCUUCAAUUCCAAGAAAGCUUUGGAUCUCUCCCCCCAGCCCUCCCCCAACCCCACAAGUACAGUACAGACACCCCAGUAGCUUAAACUCUUUUUGUUCAAAUUGCUGUGUUUACUUAUCAACCUUCCUUUUUUAACUUCCUUGUUGUUUUACCAAAAGCAGGCCCUGAGAGCGGCCUGGUCUUUUGCCCAUUCUAUUUUUGUUCCACUGAUUGUGACCCAAAGCAAGGAUGCUGCCGAAUCAUGAUCCUGGUUUUCUUACGGAGCAUGUUUUUGAAAGCAUUUUAUUUGACGAAGUGAUUGGAGGCGGGUGGUCACUUAAGUCCCCUGGUCUUGAACAUGUUAUACUUGGGAGUCUAAUCCCCCCUCCCCGCCCACAUAAAUUUGUGUUGCUUACUUACCUGUGUGGAUCAGGUUGCCAGGCAGAUUCACAGAUGCAUUAGAAUGCUAAACUAUCCUCCCUUUUAAAUUAGCAAUUCAAAAGCCUUUGAUUGUAUGCACACUUACUACUAGGGAGUAAAUCCUAUUAGUGGGGCUUACUUUUGAGUGAAUAUGCAUAAUACUGGCUGCAUGUAGCAACCUUGCAAGUUAGGAUUUUGUAGCUACACUGCUCAUUCAGAGUACCAUCUGUUGAGCCUAGACAAAGUAGUGUGUGGACUGUAACCUGGCUUUGAGCUGCUGUCCUUAACACCAAAGAGGGAGUAAGUCUGUUGAACACCCUGAGACUUGCUUCUGAGUAAGCAUGCAUAGGAUUGCACCACUGGGGAAAAAUAUUAUUGUAAAUGUAACCCUAUGCAUGUUUACUCAGAAGUCAAUCCCACUGUAUUCAGUUGUGUUUAUUCACAGGUGAGUAUAGGGUAAAGGAUGCUUGGCUGAAAGCAAGCAGCACCUUACUUCUGAGUAAAUGUAAACAGGACUGGGCUGCUAAUAAGACAGAGAGCUAUGUGGAAUCUGUGUCACAAAGAAGAAAGCUGGUCAUAAAUCUGUAUUUCCAAACACAGGCGGGUUGAGCUAAAGUCAUGCAUCCUGUUUUGAGAACAGCCUUUUGGGAACAGCUCAUACUUCAUAUGAAAUAUCUUGCAUUGCAGCUGGCAUUGGAAAUUUCCCAUGUAAGUUGGAGAAGAUGACCUCUUGUCAUCACACUCCGUCCACCCUCAAACUAUAGAAAAAGGAAAAAGAAAAGGAAAAAAUGGAGCUCAGAGGCUGGCCUGCCCACCAAAUGCAAACUUGCAGCUUUUCCUACCAUCUGUUUUAAGCCAACAAAUCCGACGACUUUGAUUUGUGCUAGUGGGAAAUGUUUCUGUCCAUGUAGGUGGAAAGUUUGGGGAUUUGGUUACACAAGUCCUUUGUCUCAGGACGUUUUGCCCAAAGCACCAUUGAAAUGUACAGCUUCACCUGGAGUAAAUGGUAAGGGCUGUACAGUAUUCUCGACUUUCCUUUCCUGGGAAUAAGCCCCUUGGAAUUCAAUAGGACAUACCUCUAAGUAUACAUGGUUAAGAUUUGGCCCCACUGAACUCAAUGUGACUCAUUUCUGAGCAUGCCUGGCUACAUCCCAGCUUUGAAAGGGCGAAAGUGGUGUUAUGUAUUUAUCAACUUUAAAGGCAGCUUGAACAUACGGCCCCCAGGUGUUGAAGUAGUCAGAACCUUUGUCUCCUCUGCAAACCAAAAAAAGGUUGCCCUUGCUUAACCCAGUUACCUAAAGGGAAAUAAGAAAUAAUUCACUUUAACUAUGAGCUUGUUCGGAAACCUACUGGACACAGAGAGGCAUGUGUUGCAGUGUCACCCACGCCAGGAUUCCGUCGUGGAACGUUCCCGGGAGGGAAGCAUUGUGACGUCAGCGCACCUACUAAUCCUCCCUGCUGAGGGGGAGCCUGGAGCCAUGAGGUCAUCGCAGCGGCCACUGUAGUAGCGCCAGCAGCAGCUUCAGAGGCCGGCGGGGUUGGGGGGGGAGGGGAGCUGGCCCGAGCAAGGCCGCCUGGGAUCCCGCAGCCGCACUCCAGUUGCAACCCGAGGCUGCCGCCGCCGCCGCCGAGUUCCUCCGCGAAAGCAUGGAGGAGGCCGACGCGAAGGAGCUGCAGGUCGGCUCCUGGCUACCCGUCCUGGUGGAGCAAAUGGUCAACGACACCCUGGUGGUCACCUUGAGCUGCGGGGAGAGGCGCUUCACGGGAAUCCUCCUGGAUUGCACUAAAAAGUCUGGGUUGUUUUGUGUUCCACCAGCUUCGUUACCAAAGACAGAUGAGCUUCUGGAUAAAACUUGCACUAACGGGACGUCUGAAGACAGGCAGCCCAUACAGCUGGAGACUGGGCAGUGGCCUUUGGAUGAAAAGCCUUCCAAAGUCAAUGGCGAGGAACAAGUUCCCCCCCUCUUGCCUCCACCGCCGUCGGGCAACGUUCUUCCUUACCCUCCCUAUUUUGAGGGAGCCCCCUUCCCCCCUCCGUUGUGGCUAAGGUGCUCAUAUAAUCAGUGGGUGCCUCAGCCCCCUCCGAGGACUAUAAAAAGGACAAAGCGACGCUUGUCCCGCAAUAGAGACCCUGGCCGGCUCAUCAUGAGCACCAUUAGGCUGAGGCCUAGGCGAGUGCUCUGUGAGAAGUGCAAGAACACCCUGAGCCCAGAGGAAGGGAACAAGGCCAGACAGAACACAAAAACCAGGAGGAAGCUGAGCAUCGAGGACAAGGAGCAAAAGAGGCACAGCGAGUCCGACUACGGAGAGAAAAGGGGCAAAAGAGAGAAGCGGGAGGAUGAGAAGUUCCCCCGGGAGUUGAUGCACCGGACUCCGGUUAUAAAAAUAUCUUACAGCACCCCACAAGGUAAAGGGGAGGUGGUGAAAAUCCCCUCCCGGGUUCAUGGCUCAGGGAAGCUGUUUUGUCCUCAGAGCAGAGGGGAGGACCAAGAGGAGACCAGAGACUCGGAAGGGGAUCGGGAAACCAAAUGUUUUGUGGAUAAGUCUGCAGGCGGUCAGCUUGCUUCCAUUCCAAAGUUAAAGUUAACCAGGCCUGUGCAUUCCAGUGCAGAUGUUCCACCUCCCAAGAUCAGGCUGAAACCCCAUCGGAUCAAUGAAGGGGACAACGUUUCAAUUUACAAAGCGGAACUUAUCGACCAGAUGAAUGUCCUUCCCAGUCGCAGAGAGUCUCGGGCUUCUUCUUUUUAUACCGAUGAGUCUGCGGAUAGAAGUUUAGCCGAGAUGUCUUCAGGGAGCUCCUGUGAAGACGACGACUUCAAAAGGUUUCCCCAAGGUAAAGAUGGACACGAUAACUUGGCUUUCCUUAUGAAUUACCGUAAGAGGAAAGCGGAUUCUUCUAGCUUAUCAGUGUGUAGCAAUGACAGCCUAGACGAAUCCAAAUCUUCCAGCUCGGAAGUAACAUCGCCAGACAUGUGUGACUUUUUACCUGGCGACGAUGCGUCCGUCUCUUCAUCCUCGAAAGAUGAGCGAAAGAUUGUGCCCCCAUUAACAGUUAGACUGCACACACAAAGUGUCGCAAAGUGUAUCACUGAAGAUGGAAGGACUAUUUCAAUCGGGGAUAUUGUUUGGGGCAAAAUCCAUGGCUUCCCCUGGUGGCCGGCCCGUGUACUCGACAUAAAUGUCAGCCAGAAGGAGAAUGGAGACCCUUCCUGGCAAGAAGCAAAAGUUUCAUGGUUUGGUUCUCCAACGACAUCUUUCUUGUCUCUCUCAAAACUCUCCCCUUUCUCUGAAUAUUUCAAACUGCGAUUUAAUCGUAAGAAGAAAGGGAUGUAUCGGAAAGCUAUAACAGAAGCUGCCAAGGCAGUGGAACAUCUGACCCCAGAAAUAAGAGACCUCUUAACGCAGUUUGAGACAUAAUUUUGGCUUCAGUUACAGGUAAGUGUGUUUGGGAGACAACACGAGCAUUACACAAGCUGAUUUAAGCACCUGUGUGAUUAGAGUUUGUUUUUCAGAGUUUUUAAAAGUGAGAGGGAUGGACCGCUUCAGUGGGAAUUAAUCAAAGGAGCUGCAUAGAGCACUAUUAAAAGUGUGUGCAUUUUUGGGGUAUCUUGCACUGUGAUAUCAAAGUUUGGGUAUAUUAAGUGCUUAGUCUUGGUCACUACCAAGUCACCCCAGAGUAUCUUUCCCAUCUUUUGAAAUGUGACUGGAAAGUUUGGAGUUAGAGCUUUUUCGGGCGGGGUGGUGGUUAAGUCACCAUUUAUUAGAGAGCUUGCCAAAUACCCAGAAAAAUCAUCUCCUCCUUUUGUUCUGUAGUUUGGGUUAUCUCAGAUCCGUAAAACUUUUCUGGUCAACUCUUUUGUUAAGCCAAACCAGUCAAUUCAGCAAAAACCAUUCCCUCGAAAAUGGUUUCAAGGGCUACUGAAGAUGGCCGAGAGUUGGAUGAAUGAAUGAACAGCUCAGCUGGAUGAAUGCAAGGAAAUUGAGGAAACUCCGGAGGAGAUGGCUUCAUGUAAAUCGAAGGGGUUCUCUUCUUAGCAAAGGCUGGGCCUCUGACCGUGUAUCUUAAUUCUAAGGGAUUUUCUCAAACUGCAGGCAGUAAUGGUGCUGAAAUAAAAGUGCUAAUGUAAUUUGGGUUUUUUUAAAAUCUUUUUUUCCCCUGUAGAGGGCUAUUGUUGUGGGGGAUCAGAUGCAGUCAUUUCAAACUGGUUUUCACGUGAUAGACUGGAAAGAAAAUGCUUAGUGGGAAGUCAGGGUAAUAACUGCAGUUAUCUGACCUAGAAAUAGAUAAUCUAUGAUGACCAGCUGCACUCUGGUAGUGUGGAGCCCUGCUGUUAAGCAGCCACUAAAUGUAAUGUGUAACUGUCAGGGGCUAAUAAGAAUGCAGGGCUGCAUAACGAAGAAAGGCCAAUUAGUGUUUUAGCAGGUGGCCAAACAAAAUUUAUGGUAGACGGAUUUGGAGUUUGGUUUUUGUUUUUGCAAUCUUGGUCACAGAUCUGCCGUAAUUGAAUAAAAUGCUUGCGAGAAGUGCAAGCUUUGUAUUAUUAUAGCCCUAUAAUUUUUUUCCUCCUUCCCUUUUGGUGCUCUGUAGCAUCGCCAAUAUGACACCAACGUACGACGGUCUCUGUGUUGGUGGAGCUUUUGUCCUGUUUCCAUAUUUCUGAGGAUAGAACCCUAUACUAGCUUACACAGGGGCAAGUUCAAUUGAACUCAGUGGGGCCUACUUCUAAGUAGGUAUUAUAGGAUUGCACUGUCAGAAAUGUCCUUAGUUUGGGUUGUCUGUGUGUGUAUAUAUAUAUAUAUAUAUCAGUCCUACUCCUGUCUAGCUUUUGGAAUCAUGAGAAAUGUAAUACAAUUGAGAUGAGUGAAAUUGAAGUUGUCAAGACAAAAAGGCUGGUUUCUUUGAGGAGAUAAAUCAGUGAUGUUGGCUUUAUUGGGUGGCUGGCUGGGGGGGUUACAAAUUCCCAUGCUGAAGUUCAUUAAGAGAUAUAAUUAAUGGGAAUUGUUGAAGAGAGAGACUGUCAUUGUCCCUUGACAAUGGGUCAUCUAGUAAAGGUAAAGGACCCCUGGACAGUUAAGUCCAGUCAAAGGCGACUAUGGGUUUGCGGUCCUCAUCUCGCUUUCAGGCCGGGGGAGCCGCCGUUUGUCCACAGACAGCUUUCCGGGCCACGUGGCCAGCAUGACUAAACCGCUUCUGGUGCAACAGAACAACCAUGAUGGAAACCAGAGCGCACAGAAAUGGCGUUUACCUUCCCGCCACAGCGGUACCUAUUUAUCUACUUGCACUGGCAUGCUUUUGAACUGCUAGGUUGGCAGGAGCUGGGACUAAGCAACAGGAGCUCACCCUGUUGCAGGGAUUCAAACUGCCAACCUUCCAAUUGGCAAGCCCAAGAGGCUCAGUGGUUUAGACCACAGCGCCACUGCUCUCUCCUCAUCUAGUCCCACCCCCUGCAGUGCAGGAAUCUCAGUUAAAGCAUCCAUGAGAGAUGGCCACCCAACCUCUGCUUGAAAAACAUCCAAGGAGCCCAACAGUGAGCAAGGUCUUCCUUUUGGUGCCCUUGUGGUUUGAACUGGAGGCAUGCUGGCCAGCUUAAGAGCAUUGAGAGUGUGAACUAGAGUGCAUCUAGCUAUCUAGCUCUGCUGUAGCGCAUUGCAGGAAAAGAUUGGUAAAAGUAAGCAAGCUGUCAGCCAAAGAAGCUUCUCUGCUAUUGCUGGUCUUCUCAUUGAGGAACCUGAUAAGUUUCCAAGAAACCAUAGGGUUCCCUGGGAAACAGUUUAGAAAACCCAGCUCUGAAGUGUAGGUACAUACUGUAUUGCUAAACACAGCAAGCCUUGAAGAGUCUCUUGUGAUGACUUGUAUGUUCUGUGUGGCCACAGUUUUUCGUUAUGUAUUUGGUCCAGAACUGAAUAAGUAUUUUAUGUGAUUUACAGUGCAGUUGAUGUACUCCAAGCUUGUUGGAUCUACUUCGUUCUUGGUGGUGGUUGUUUCACUGCAAACCCAAGGUCCACUAACCAGAGUAGCUCAGCACUUGGAAUCAAGGAAUAGGAUUCCUCUGAGUUCAGCCCAGGAAACUUGUUUUCAGCACCAGAAUGGAGCUUGCAGUCCUUUGACCCAGAGAACCCACUCCUGUUUUUCACCUAAGCUUUCAUUGUUUCAGCAGUCUAAUUUAGAAGGUAACAGAAGAUAAGACCACAGCUGUCCUAGAGUUUCACAAAGUCUGUAAACAUCCCGACACACACUUCCCUGGGAGAAUCUUAAGGUUUCCGUGCUCGUGGCAGCAGGAUGGGUUUUCGGACUGGCCCGCAGCUCAUAAUCUGUGAAAGUUAUAACAAGCACCUGGACUGCUUAGUAAAAGGCCCUCCGCGGGCUAGUCUGACCAAAAGUCACAAAGCUACUUAACACAAGAGAAGCAAACUUGGCGAGUGCUGUUUCAGUGGACUUGGGGGGAAAUGAAAUACAACACCUCGGAAUGUAUUUAUUACCUAUGAAAUGUUAGCUACUCUUGAUAAUUCCCUGUUCCUCUCCCCCUUCCCCUACACGCACACAAACACACAAACACAAACACACACGUUGCUGCUUCUGCUGCUUGUAUGUAACAAGAUCUCUCUCACACUCUUGUUUUUGAUUUUAACACCACAAAACUGUUUACUCCUAUUAUGUACACUUCUGCAAGGGAAAUGCAAUAGAAUGGAACCGGUGUAGUCUUAAGUUAAAAAUGGACUCACUUUUGCGUCUAUUAAACCACGGAAAAAUAAGCAACG